GAAAAAACAAAUUCAUCUCUCUCAAUUAAGCAUUGGCGCGGCAGAUUGUGAAACUCGAAAAAAAAAACCUCCCCACAAAACCUAUUCCAAAGUUAACCUUAAUUCAUCCUCUCGCAGAACCUAAAUUCAUCCUCCCGCAAAAUCCAAACCACAACCGCACAUCACCCCAAUCUCCCACACCGCAGUGUCGUCGCUCUUUUUCAAUCUCUGGUGAAGUCGAGUUUCCACACUCCAAUUUUUUAGGGUGUUAGCAAUUGAUGUUCCUUGCCGAUUGAGAAUGACAAAGGUGUCCAUAUAGUUGUCCUUGGAGAAGUGUACGUUGGGAAGGAAGGAUAAGUGGUCAAGAAUAAUUUCAAACCUGUGCCUAGCGGUUAUUAUCGAGUUUGUAUUGAAGAAUAUAUCAACCCAAGUGCGGAAUUGCCAUGUCCCGAGGGGGGGAAACAAAAUUCGUUUUUCAAAGCUUGGAUAGAUUUUUUAUAUUGCCUGCUCAUUUGAUUUUUCGUUAAAUAAG